rnacentral:rRNA from 1 species
AACGAACGCUGGCGGCAGGCUUAACACAUGCAAGUCGAACGCACCUUUCGGGGUGAGUGGCAGACGGGUGAGUAACGCGUGGGAAUCUACCCUUCUCUACGGGAUAGCUCCGGGAAACUGGAAUUAAUACCGUAUACGUCCUGAGGGAGAAAGAUUUAUCGGGGAAGGAUGAGCCCGCGUUGGAUUAGCUAGUUGGUGGGGUAAAGGCCUACCAAGGCGACGAUCCAUAGCUGGUCUAAGAGGAUGAUCAGCCACAUUGGGACUGAGACACGGCCCAAACUCCUACGGGAGGCAGCAGUGGGGAAUAUUGGACAAUGGGCGCAAGCCUGAUCCAGCCAUGCCGCGUGAGUGAUGAAGGCCCUAGGGUUGUAACGCUCUUUCAGUGGGGACGAUAAUGACGGUACCCACAGAAGAAGCCCCGGCUAACUUCGUG